CGCCCCGCCCCCCGCACCUGGGCCCGCCCCCUCUCCUCCCCUCCCCCCCGGCUGCUCUCGCAGCGCGGUCGCGGUGCCCGUUGCGGGGCAUGGCGGCUCCGGACAGCUGUGUCAAGGUGGCCGUGAGGAUCCGGCCCCAACUGUCCAAAGAGAAAAUAGAAGGAUGUCACAUCUGCACCUCAGUGACACCUGGCGAGCCCCAGGUGCUGCUGGGGAAGGACAAGGCCUUCACCUAUGACUUUGUCUUCGACCUGGACACAUGGCAGGAGCAGAUCUACACAACAUGUGUGGGCAAGCUCAUCGAAGGCUGCUUCGAGGGCUACAAUGCCACCGUGCUGGCGUAUGGCCAGACUGGUGCGGGCAAGACAUACACCAUGGGCACCGGCUUCGACAUGAACAUCGCCGAGGAUGAGCAGGGCAUCAUCCCGCGAGCCAUCGGCCACCUCUUCAGUGGCAUCGAGGAGCGCAAGCGGGCAGCGCAGAGUCAGGGCGUGCCGGUGCCCGAGUUCAAAGUCAGCGCCCAGUUCCUGGAGCUCUACAAUGAAGAGAUUCUGGACCUGUUUGACAGUGCCCGUGACCCUGACGCACGCCACCGCAAAUCCAACAUCAAAAUCCAUGAGGAUGCCAGUGGGAGCAUCUACACCACGGGCGUCACAUCGCGCCUCAUUAGCUCACAGGAUGAGCUGAUCCAGUGCCUAAAACAGGGCGCUCUGUCCCGCACCACUGCCAGCACCCAGAUGAACGUGCAGAGCUCCCGGUCCCAUGCCAUCUUCACCAUUCACCUGUGCCAGAUGAGAGUGUGCACGCGCCCGGAGCUGGUGAAUGGGGAGGUGACCAGCCUCCUGGAUGGAGCCCAGCCCACCACUGAGUACGAGACCCUCACGGCCAAGUUCCACUUCGUAGACCUGGCUGGCUCAGAAAGGCUGAAGCGAACAGGUGCUACCGGCGAGAGAGCAAAGGAAGGCAUCUCCAUCAACUGUGGUCUGCUGGCCUUGGGGAAUGUCAUUAGUGCCCUCGGAGACCAGAGCAAGAAAGUUGUGCAUGUGCCCUACCGCGACUCCAAGCUCACCCGCCUGCUGCAGGAUUCCCUUGGGGGCAACAGCCAAACCAUCAUGAUUGCCUGUGUGAGCCCAUCUGACCGGGACUUCAUGGAGACCCUGAACACUCUCAAGUAUGCCAAUCGGGCUCGCAACAUCAAGAACAAGGUGGUGGUGAACCAGGACAAGACAAGUCAGCAGAUCAGUGCCCUGCGGGCCGAGAUCGCCCGCCUGCAGAUGGAGCUGAUGGAGUACAAGGCAGGCAAGCGAGUCAUCGGGGAGGAUGGCUCGGAGGGCUACAGCGACCUUUUCCGCGAGAACGCCAUGUUGCAGAAGGAGAACAGCGCUUUGCGCAUGCGGGUGAAGGCCAUGCAGGAGGCCAUCGAUGCGAUCAACAGCAGGGUCACCCACCUCAUGAGUCAGGAGGCCAAUCUGAUGCUGGCCAAAGCAGGUGACGGCAAUGAAGCCAUCGGUGCCCUCAUCCAGAACUACAUCCGGGAGAUUGAAGAGCUGAGGACGAAGCUACUGGAGAGCGAGUCCAUGAAUGAGUCUCUGCGUCGCAGCCUCUCACGUGUCUCUGCCCGGCCCCCCUACUCCAUGGGCUCAUCCCCAGCAUCGGGCCUGGCUGGCCUGUGCAGCCCGGCGGCUUCCGUGGACACAGAGGCCUCUGAUGUGCUCCGACGGGCCAAGCAGGACCUGGAGCGCCUGAAAAAGAAAGAGAGGAGGCAGCAGAGGAAAAGCCCAGAGAAGGAGGCAUUUAAGAGGCGGCAGAAACUGCAGCAGGACAAUGAGGAGGAGACAGAUGAGAACGAGGUGGAAGAGGAGGAGGAGGAACAGGAUGAGAGUGGCUGUGAGGAAGAGGAUGGACGUGAGGAUGAAGACGAGGACUCAGGCAGUGAAGAGAGCCUCGUGGACUCAGACUCAGAUGCAGAGGAGAAGGCCGUGAAUUUCCAGGCUGACCUGGCGGAUCUGACCUGCGAGAUAGAGAUCAAGCAGAAGCUGAUUGAUGAGCUGGAGAACAGCCAGCGGCGCCUGCAGACCCUCAAGCACCAGUACGAGGAGAAGCUGAUCCUGCUGCAGAACAAGAUUCGGGACACACAGCUGGAGCGGGACCGAGUCUUGCAGAACCUCAGCACCAUGGAGUGCUACACGGAGGAGAAAGCCAACAAGAUCAAAGCAGACUACGAGAAGCGUCUGAAGGAGAUGAAUCGGGACCUGCAGAAGCUCCAGGCAGCCCAGAAGGAGCACGCUCGCCUGCUCAAGAACCAGUCCCGCUACGAGCGGGAGCUGAGGAAGCUGCAAGCAGAGGUGGCCGAGAUGAAGAAGGCAAAGGUUGCGCUGAUGAAGCAGAUGCGGGAGGAGCAGCAGCGGAGGCGACUGGCAGAGACCAAGAGGAAUCGGGAGAUAGCGCAGCUCAAGAAGGAGCAGCGCCGGCAGGAGUUUCAGAUCCGGGCUCUGGAGUCUCAGAAGCGGCAGCAGGAAAUCGUUCUGCGGAGGAAAACUCAGGAGGUCUCGGCACUGCGCCGUCUUGCCAAGCCCAUGUCAGACCGGGUGGCGGGCAGGACGAGCCAGAAGCCGGCCAUGCUGGACUCAGGUGCAGAGGUCUCGGCCAGCACCACCUCCUCUGAGCCAGAGUCCGGUGCGCGCUCCGUCUCCAGCAUCGUGCGCCAGUGGAACAGGAAAAUCAACAACUUCCUGGGAGAUCCCUCAUCCUCUGUGAAUGGGGCUCGGCCGGCCAGGAAGAAGUUCCCCAAGAAGGGGGUGAGCCAGACCUUCAGCAAAGCCGCCCGCCUCAAGUGGCAGUCGCUGGAGCGGCGCAUCUUUGACAUUGUCAUGCAGAGAAUGACCAUCGUCAACCUGGAGGCUGACAUGGAGCGGCUCAUCAAGAAACGCGAGGAGCUGGCACUGCUGCAGGAAGCAUUGCUGGGCAAGAGGGCAAAACUGCAAGCAGAGAGCCCCAUGGAGCAGAAAGGGCUGCAGGAGCUGAAUGAGGAGAUCGAGGUGCUGGGGGCCAACAUCGAUUACAUCAAUGACAGCAUUUCCGACUGCCAGGCCACCAUCAUGCAGAUCGAGGAGACCAAGGAGGAGCUGGACUCCACGGACACCUCGGUGGUGAUAAGCUCCUGCUCCCUGGCUGAAGCCCGGCUCCUGCUGGACAACUUCCUGAAGGCCUCCAUCGACAAGGGGCUGCAGGUGGCACAGAAGGAGGCCCAGAUCCGUCUGCUGGAGGGACGCCUGCGGCAGUCGGACGUGACCAGCUCCUCGCAGAACCACGCCAUCCUGGACGCCCUGCGGGAGAAGGCUGAGUCGCACCCUGAGCUGCAGGCCUUGAUCCACAAUGUCCAGCAAGAGAAUGGUUACGCCAGUACGGAUGAGGAGGUCUCAGAGUUCAGCCUGGCUUCAGAUGGCAGCAUCUCCCAGUCUUUCACCAUGAAGGGCUCCGCAAGCCAGGAUGACUUCAAGUUCAAGGGAGAGCCCAAGCUGUCAGGGCAGAUGAAGGCAGUGUCGGCUGAGUGUCUAGGACCCACGCUGGACGUCUCCACCAAGAACAUCACUAAGUCCUUGGCAUCCCUCAUGGAGAUCAAAGAGGAUGGGAUUAGCUUCUCCAUCCGAGACCCCUAUUACAAGGAGAAAGUGUCACGCACCAUCAGCUUACCCACGCGAGGAAGCACCUUUCCCAGACAAUCUCGUGGCUCGGACACUUCGCCUCUGACAAGGAGGAAAUCCUAUGACCGUGGGCAGCCUGCCAGGCCUCCAGAUGUUGGCUUCACACCUCCCUCAUCCCCACCCACCCGUCCACGCAACGACCGCAAUGUCUUCUCUCGUCUCACGAGCAACCAGAGCCAGGGGUCUGCCUUGGAUAAGUCUGAUGACAGCGAUUCCUCUGUCUCGGAGGUGCUGAGGGGCAUCAUUAACCCAGUGGCUGGGACCAAGAACGCCCGUACAGCCCCGCUGCAGUGCGUCUCUGUGGCAGAAGGACACACCAAGCCUGUGCUCUGCCUGGAUGCUACCGACGAGCUGCUUUUCACCGGGUCCAAAGACCGGAGCUGCAAAAUGUGGAACCUGGUGACGGGCCAAGAAAUUGCUUCCCUCAAGGGUCACCCAAACAACGUGGUUUCCAUCAAGUACUGCAGCCACACUGGGCUGGUGUUCACCGUGUCCACAUCAUACAUCAAAGUCUGGGACAUCCGGGACUCAGCCCGAUGCAUCCGCACCCUCACAUCUUCUGGCCAGGUGAUCUCUGGGGACGCAUGUGCUGGGACAUCCAACCGCACUGUCACCAGUGUGCAGGGGGAGCACCAGAUCAACCAGAUUGCUCUCAACCCCACUGGCACCACGCUUUAUGCUGCCACCGGUAACUCCGUCCGCAUCUGGGAGCUGAGCAGGUUGCAGCCCAUUGGGAAGCUGAGCGGCCACAUCGGGCCUGUGAUGUGUCUCACGGUAAACCAGACGGCAAGCAACCACGACCUGGUAGUCACGGGCUCCAAAGAUCACUAUGUCAAGGUGUUUGAGAUUGCUGAGGGCAUGGUGGGCAAUAUUGGCCCCACUCACAACUUCGAGCCCCCUCACUAUGACGGCAUCGAGUGCCUGGCCAUCCAGGGAGAUGUCCUCUUCAGCGGCUCCAGGGACAAUGGCAUAAAGAAGUGGGAUCUGGAGCAGCAGGAACUUCUCCAGCAAAUCCCCAAUGCCCACAAAGACUGGGUCUGUGCCCUGGCCUUCAUCCCCGGCCGCCCCAUGGUGCUGAGUGCCUGCCGAGGAGGUAUGAUCAAAGUCUGGAAUGUGGACUCCUUCACCCCAGUUGGGGAGAUAAAAGGGCACGACAGCCCCAUCAACGCCAUCUGCACCAACUCAAAGCACAUCUUCACUGCCUCCAGUGACUGCCGGGUAAAGUUAUGGAAUUACGUGCCUGGGCUCACCCCUUGCCUUCCACGACGAGUCCUUGCCAUAAAGGGCCGUGCUACUAGUCUGCCUUGACCCUCCUGCUCUUUCUGACUCUCUUGCUCAUGCACUCCUCUUCUGUCUUUUCUUUCCUUUUCUCUUUCUCUCCAUCUCUUUCUCCCUCUGUCUUUCUCUCUGUUGCUUGCUUUUGCUCCUCUCUCUUUUUCUUUCUUUCUCUCUGGUCUGAGCUGCUUCUUCACGUGACUUGACAGUGAAGCUCUGGAGUGGGAGGAGGUUACCUGCGGGUUCGAACUAGGAACUGCAAAAGGACUGGAAUACGUGACAGGAGGGUGAAGGUCGGGGUACCUCUCCCUUGCUGUGAAGACCCCAUCAUCUACAGGAGCUCAGCCCAGAGAUAGGGAUUUCUUUGUGCCUGACCCAACGGGGUGGACAAUGUCCCAUCUGGUACUUUAAGCACUGCCAGCUCCUGCGAGAAGGCAUCUCCAUGGGGCACCGUCAGCUCCACCUUCCCUCCUGCUGAGGUUUUCCAGUGAUGUUUCAUCUCCUUUCUCACCCACCCACCCCUACCAGGACUUGUGGGGAGCAGAGAUCCUUGGCUCUUUCUCAGAGACAUCUGGUUUCCUCCUGUGACCAUGGGCUCGUGUGGCCUCUGAUGUGCUGCUUCUGUCCCUGUUGGCUCCAGGGCUGGUUCCUGCAGGAGUCUUUCUCCACUCCACAGCCAUGAUGACAUUUGGUGUCUGCUGGCCAGGACCACAGCAUAGAGGGGCUGCUUCUUCAGAAACAUUCCUCAUGGGACAACUUCUCUGCUGUGGGGGUCCUGCAGAAGGAUUUUCAUGUAGUCUCAUCAUUCUCCAUCCUCUCUCUACCUGUCCCCAGUGACUGGAGAUGUGCACCUCUGAGGUCCUUUGCCAUGUCCCAGCAGUGGAGGCAUGGCAAGCCAGGGAAGAUCACCAUCAGACAGCUUCCCCACAAACCUGCUGCACAUCCCUCUGAUGUUCUCCAAGCCCCAGUUGUAAACUCAGCUGACCCACAGCUCUCAGGCUCUUCCCCAUUUGCCUAUGCUGCUCUGCAGGGGGAAGGGAAAGGCUACUUAGCCUUUUGACACCUUGGUCCUCAGCAGGGGUUUGUUGUGGGUUCCUGCAGCGUGUUAACCUCCUUGAGAUGGAGAAAUGAAGCAAGAAUGGAGGUUACAGGGCAAAGAAACCAAGGCUGGAUUUGUCACCUUCACCCCUGUGGCCCAUCUUGUUUUUCCAUCACUGGGAACUGGAAGCUGUAAAUCCUUCCCCCAGGCUCUAUUCUCAGCCUCCUGCCGGGGAGGGGAGCAGCUCAGAUUUGGCCUGUUGGCCCCCCCGGAUCCAGGAGCUGGAGGGGGCCCAGCUGGAGUGCAGCCCAGAAUGGAGUUGGCUGUGCCAGGAGCGGGGUGAGGAAGGGGUUGCACACUCUAGUCUCGCACAAGUCCCCUGAUUCACCCCACGCUUGACAGGACAAUCCUGCACUGGAUGAUCUUGAACAAUCCGACCUCCGUGAAAAGCUGGGGGCUCCAUCCAGGAGUGUCCUUGCAAGGACACAGCUUCUCCAUGCACCCUCUCUCCUGUGCAAGGGGCUGGCAAGGCCUUGGUCUCACACUGGAGCUUUCCCCCGUUUCUCUUGUGGCUCGUUGGACCAUCUCCUGCUUGUCCUGCCCUGGGCCAGUCAGGGCUCAUUGUGGGAUGGCCAAGGAGACCCUGGGAGUGGUGCUCUUGCCUCACGUGCCCUCACUUCCCCUCUGUCACAGAAGAAGCAACGUUUGAACUCAAAUUUAAGGAUUUUCGCACAUGAUCCCACCAGCCCUGAACUGGGUUCUCAGAGGCCAGGGCCUCCAGGACCUUCCCCAUAAAACACGGACUGUUUUCCCUCUGCUUUGUCCAACCAUGGUGACUCAUGGACCAGUCCCAGGUCAUUUGCCACCAGCCCUCCUCGUUAAAACCGUUCUGGGUGGAGCAUGGGAAUUCGUACUCAUCCUGAAAGGCAGGAGUAUCUUUAGUGAUUUGACGGGGAUAUUUUUGCCUUUUGGGGGAUAAAAAACCCAUCCUGCUGCCUUGUCUUGGUGGAGGGAGUAAUGGUGUGUGUGGGUGUGACCCUGCCUCAUGUUGGUGGCCCAGUCUGGGACCAGCAGCCACACUGAGACAAGGAGCCCUCCUGCUGCAGCUGCUGGAGACACGGUAUCAGUACGAGCAGCUCUGGGCUGCAAAAAUAGCUGGUGCAUUGUGGCCGCCGAGGUAACGCACAGAUGUGGAGGCUGGAAAGGGUGUUACCCUCCAACCCUUGGUCGGCGUUUCCCUCCUCAUUCCUCAGCCGCUUUAACCUUUGCUUGGGCAAAGGGUGGCGGGGGUGGCGAGUGUGUGUUUGUGUGUUUGUAGCCAGUUGUACCAUGUGCAUCGGUGUCUGCAUCAAGAUCUGCCAGUGCCUGACCCAAAACCUCUCGCUGUUCCCUGCUCAAGUGGGUGAAGGGACCUGCUCUUCAGAAGCUUGGGGUCAGACCUGCCUUGCCUUUUGCCACUGGUUCAUUCCUGUGUGUAGGCUGCAAGUGCUGCUUAAUUCCCCAGGGCUGGGUGGCCAACCCUGCAUGAUGCUGUGCAUCCACCUUGCUGCACAUGGAGGGGCCUCAAGGCUUUCCCAGCAUGCGGGUGGAGGCAGCUGGUACUGUGGCACAGCAGCAAGUGUCCAGAGAGGGGGGUCUUUGAAGCGAGAGGUGACUGUGAUCCCAUAGCUCUGUGUGUGUGUGUUUUAGUAUCUGCAUCAGUUGGUAUUUCUCAUGCGGGAAAGUGUUUCUUGGGUGUUGAUCUGGUUUAGCUACCUCACGGUGCAAGCUAGGUACUGUCAUUUGGUUUUGUUUUGGGGAUGGGGUGGGGAGUUUGUGUUUCUUCUUCUCUUAAUUAUCGUUAUGGUUUUGACACUUGAAUUCGUCCUGGGGACACGUGGCCCCACCCUCACCUUGCUGCAUGUCUGAGCCGCCCCUCGUGUCCCCUCCCUGCCUCCCCCUGGGCAGUGCAGCAGGACCAGCAUCCUGCUCUCCCCUUUGCAGUGGGAUCCCCCAGCUGAGUCACAACACUGAGAUUUUGCUCCAGUUGCUGGUAGAAUACUUGAACUGAGGCUCGGCUUUCUUGCCGUUUGUUAUUGGGUUGAUUUGCAGCCUGGAAGUCAUCCCUCUUGUCUCUUUGAAGGAUGGAAAGAGACCUCUGAAAGGCUCAACUCAGCGUGUAUUUCUGCCUCUGCUCUCACAGAUAUUCUCUGUGGAUGCAAUAAAGCCCUUCUUGUCGGGGAAAUGCCCAUGCAAAGCACAUCACUGGAAUGGGCUGGUCCUGGUCCCCAUUGUCAGCCUGGAGCAGCAGGAAACUGGUGCUGGAAAACCCUCUGUCCAGGGUGGGGUGGGUCUGGGAGAGAAGCUGAUUCUCAUGCGUGAUGUUUGAUUUUUGACCCCCAAAACAUAGUUGAAUCUAGAUCCUGUCCUAGGCACUGAACAUAAACCAGGGUAACUGUGGAGCCCCCAGGGAGCCCCCUGCUCAGGGAUGGGGAGCUGACAUGGGGCCGUAUCCGCUUCCCUGUCACAAAGGGGUUUGGGAAGGGGCUCGCAGCUGAGCCACACUGUCUGCUGGCGGGGGACAACACAGGUUCCCGAACCACUAAAGCACAAGAUCGCAACAUGCAGGUGGUCUAGCAAGGGUGACCACUUGGACUCUGGUCCUUCACAGCUCCAACUGGGUCCCUGGGUUUGGACAGCCAAGGUUGAGGCUCAGCAUGGCGGUGAGGGCUGUUUGCCUGCCGGAGGAGGCAGGGGAGCUGUUUCAUCCUUUUGCAUUGUCCUGGGGCCAUCCCCUGGGGCUCAGGACUUGCACUGCUGUGUAGCUUAAGACCCUUCUUGUGGUCUCUGAACCCCUCUGCCAGCCCUUCCAUUGCAGGGACAGUUUGGAGCUGCCUUUGCACUGUGCACCUCCUUUUGCUCCAUCCUUGGGUGCCUUGGUUUGUGCCAAGGGUGUGAUGAUACCUGAAGUCCAGGGAGGUCCUUCCCUUUUUCAGAUUGCUGGGUGAUGCUUUUGACCUCGGGCCCUGACUCUUGCUCCGUGGGUCUCCUCUCUCCAGCACACAGGGGCCAGCUCCAGCUUCUGCCAAACGCUGUCCCAGAGCUGAGCUUUGCACAUAAGGGGGGGAGAUGACUAAGGAGCACAAAAGCCCUGGGGCCCCAACCCACUGUGAGCCCACCCAGCUUGCCCAGGCACUGCCCAUUCCCUGGCACCCCAGCUCUCAUGGCACAAACGGACAGGCUGGCCAUGCAUCUCAGCCUGGCCAGCUGUGAGGAGCACCAGGGUCUGUCCCCCGUGGACAUCGUUCCUCCCCAGCACCUCUGAGCACAGAUGCUUUGGGGAACGCUGCCUCCUGCCUUGGUGCUGCAGAACCAGUGCCUGUUCCCAGUGCCCCAUCCCAGUCCUUCCCGUGCUGGACAGGGUCCAGGUACAGUCCCUGCAGAGCACAGGGCUCCCGCUUGCUUUCAGCAGGUUCACUGGAGCUUUGCUCUGUCCUGCAGGCUGCACACCCUCCCUGAGCCCUCCUGGGAGGGAACCGUCCCCCUGACCCCCCCGUGUGCUGCAGAGUGCUCCAGCUGUAACUGGGAGGGAGCCCAGCACAGUUCUGACCCCCAACCCUUGUCUCGGCCUCCUGGGCCUCACCCCCAGAAAAGCACAGCCCUGCGCCUUCCCCCUGCCCCUGGGGGCUUGUCCUCUCAUCCAUAACAGCUCUGCCUGCAGCACCUGCCAGCUGUUCCACGUCCCCUGUGUCCCGGGACCACCCAGUAUCCUCCAGUCCAGACCUCUGCUGGGGCUCGGGCAGCUGCAGCGUUGCAUUGUCUGCUCGGUCAUCCCUUCCCACCACACCAGUAUUGCAAAUAGCAGGUGCCUUUUCUUGCUCAGAGCUGUUUUGUAGAGGCCAACUCUCGUGAAGGCUUUUUUUCUCUGCUGGGUCUUGCAGCCCAGCCCAGUGGACUGGGUUUGUUAGAGGACAAGGCGUGUACGUAUAUUUUAUACCUCGAUGUGUUCUUGUAAAUAGUGUAAGUUAUUUCAGUCUCAUGAUGUACAUGUUUUUUCAAUGGCUGUGUUUGUUCCUUGCCUUUUUGUCUUCACAAAUAAAACAUACUGAAAUGA